rnacentral:rRNA from 1 species
AGAAUUUGAUCUUGGUUCAGGACGAACGCUGGCGGCGUGCCUAACACAUGCAAGUCGAGCGGGGACAUGCGACGGAUAGGAAGUUUCGGAUGGACUUGAAGAUGCAUCGUUCUAGCGGCGGACGGGUGAGUAACGCGUGAGCAACCUGUCCCUUACAGGGGGAUAACACAGCGAAAGUUGUACUAAUACCGCAUAAGACCACGGGAGGACAUCCUUCAGGGGUCAAAGGAGGAAUCCGGUAAGGGGUGGGCUCGCGUCCGAUUAGAUAGUUGGUGAGGUAACGGCCCACCAAGUCGACGAUCGGUAGCCGACCUGAGAGGGUGAUCGGCCACAUUGGGACUGAGACACGGCCCAAACUCCUACGGGAGGCAGCAGUGGGGAAUAUUGGGCAAUGGGGGAAACCCUGACCCAGCAACGCCGCGUGAGGGAAGAAGGUUUUCGGAUCGUAAACCUCUGUCCUUGGUGAAGAGGAAGAGACGGUAGCCAAGGAGGAAGCCCCGGCUAACUACGUGCCAGCCGCCGC